rnacentral:lncRNA from 1 species
CCAUUUUGAACCCAUUUUAAAACCCAAAACUCAUUCCCUUUGUCUGUCAUGUUUGAGUUUGCCGCAGCCCCCUUCCACCAUUUCAGACCCAUCUCCGAUCAACUACAACGACCAUGACGGCACCACGACGGAGCGCUACCGCUGGUAAGAACCCCUCUCCCUCUGCUUUGCUUCGCUUCAAGAAAUUGUUUUUGAUUCUCUUUCAAUUUUUCUUUACAAAAUUUCUCUCCUUCCCCCUUCUGUUUUUUUCUUUAAUUUUUCCCCUUUCAAUCCUGAAAAACUCCCUUCUAAAAAACAGUUUUCACCUCCCCCUCUUUUACAAUCAGUUGUUUUCUUUUAAUAUAUUUGUUAUCCUUCUGUUCCUUGUGUUAUUCGUGGUUCGUAGCUUAUUUGCAGGAUGAACGUGCACGGCGCUAGGGGAAACGGUAGUUAUUGCGACGUGGGAGUGUGUACAGUGCUGGUCUGCUGCUUGCUAUUGGAGUUUGCUGGGUUUUUUUUUGGCUGUACAGUGUUAUUAGUUUGGGCCUUAUUGGGCCUCGUUUUUAAUUGGGUUAGGUUGUAAUUUGGGCUUUGGGUCAGUUUUAGUGAGUAUAGUUGGGCCCGGGCAAUAAUUGGGUGUUACAAAUGGUAUAAUCGAUAAACGUUGAGUUAAAUGGUAAAUACGUAUUAGUGUUAAACUUAGUGACAUUGAAUUAUACGUGAAUUAAAUGGAAAUUGCUAGUGAUAUGAUUUAAAUUGUGAGCAGGAGAAAUUGCGAAUUGAAUGAAAUGGAAACGAAGCAUUGAAUUGCAUGAGUAUGUAUCGGGUCUCGUAGGCCCAAUUUUAUUAUGAUUAUAAUGUUUUGAGGAUAUAUUGUGAAGAGUUAUAAAAGCA